rnacentral:tRNA from 1 species
GGUAGAGCGUCGCCCUUACAAGGCGAAUGUCAGCGGUUCGACCCCGUUAGCACCCACCA